UUAACGUACUUCAAAUAAUAAUUUUCUGAAACCCGAACUAUUUAUUGUAAUUAGCGAGCAUCAAAUAUUCGUCAGUACUAGUUUUUCUCCAAUAUGUUAACCACUUAAAAAUGAGUGCCUUGAUAUAAUUUGUACUCUUCCGAAUAAAACUUGAAAGAAGCAAAACCCAUGAAAUAAUAUUAUCUACAACAAGAAGUUUUUCCCAACUUAUUUGGGUCGCUGGGGAGAACCUAUUCCCAUGCUGUAUGAAUCAAGUACCAUCUAGCCGCCGUUCUGCACCGGUGCCCAUUCAACUGCAAUAAGGGCCUGCAUCCGAACACCUCCACCUCCAGUCAACAGAGGCUACGUGGAGCCGAAGUCCCUCCAAAACCUGAGGACGGCAAUGGAGAUCCCUCGACGGACGCAAAAGAUAAGUAGUCCUCUUGCAGUCAGGUGUUAGCAAAGUGCUACUGAACAAAUUAGUUUCCUUGACAAUUUUCUUUUUGUUAAUAAUCUUCAAUUUCCUUUCUUCAGUAUUUUAAAUAGCAAUAAUGUGUAUCUAAUUGAUUUAUUAGGGUCAAUAAAUGAAUAUGUAAAA
rnacentral:lncRNA from 1 species